CCUCAUGGCCUUUAUGCCCAGGGCUACACACGUGCUACAAUGGGUGGUACAAAGAGCAGCAAGCUCGCGAGAGCAAGCGAAAUCUCAAAAAACCAUCCUCAGUUCGGAUUGAAGUCUGCAACUCGACUUCAUGAAGUCGGAAUCGCUAGUAAUCGCGGAUCAGCAUGCCGCGGUCGAAUACGUUCCCGGGCCUU
rnacentral:rRNA from 1 species